UCUGCCUCCCAAGUGCUGGGAUUAAAGGUGUGCACCACCAUGCCCAGCUCUCCUCUCAUUUUCUAUGGUACCUUCACACUUUUCUUUAUCCCUUUCCCUUUUCUGUGUACCUUAUAUAUACUCUAAUUUCUCCAUCUCUCCUCCUCCUCUCCCUCCUCUUCCUUCAGAUUCUUUAAGAGAGGGCUUCUCUGUGUAGCCCUGGCUAUCCUCAAACUUACUCUGUAAAUGAAGUUGGUCCGGAACUGAGUCCAGCCUGCCUCUGCCUCCUGAGUGCUAGGAUUAAAGGCAGAUGCCAUGUAUGCUGCUCAUUCUCCAUCAUAACUGAUAUUCCUGUUUCCUGGUCCCAUCUGCCCUGUCCUGCCCCCUACCUUUCCUCCUCACCCAUUUUCAGUCUUUCCCCCUCUCUCUGGACUCUUCUCCCUCGCCUGCUAGCCCAGUCCUAGUCUCAGAGGAUAUGGGGCAGGAUACCCAGGGCUUGAUGUCCUCCUGGAUCCCUCCCCACAACCAGACCUCUGUCUGUCUCUGGGUCCUAGCCUGGGGACAUAAGGAAUGUGAUCAAGAGUGCUCAGUCCACUUUGCUCCUCUACCUGCCCAGUCUCCUCCUCUACCUGCCCUGUCUCCUUGCUCGUUUCUCUAUCCCCACCUCCUUCUCCCUAGGCUGCCUAGCCCCCCUUUCUGGGCUCUCUGUCCUGUUCUUUUCUGUGCUUGCCCUCAUGGCCUCACUGUUCUUUCUGGAAUCUUCUUUUGUUCUGUUCUCCAUCACUAUUCCCUUUCUUCCUCCAUUUUCUUUACAACCCAGGCUCUCCCACCAGUGCUGUAACACCACCUCCUCCCCUUUCCUCACUGAAACUUAGAAGCUGUCUCCACCUCCCUUAGCAUCUCUGCUGUUUAUCUCCCUUGACCAUUCAGGCCUUUCUUGUCUCCGAUAUCCAGUCUCUCCUCCCCUCUUAUCUAUUCUGACCCAAGGUGCUGAUCUCUCUCUCUCUCUCUCUCACACACACACACACACACACACACACACACACACACCCAACUUCUGACUAAUUCCCUUUCUGGUUGUCCCUCACUCUGCUCUCUCUGUCCCUCACACUCCUGUGGAACUCCUUCUGGUCUUCCUGUCUCUUUCUUGCACUGACUCCCUAUCCUCUCCUGGUGUGUGUGUGUGUGUGUAUGUGCAUAUGUGCACACACAGUAUAGGACAGAGGUCAACCUUAGGUGUUACUCAUGCUUAUUUUGUAUGUUCAUGUAUGCAUAUGGUGUGCUCACCUGUAAAACAUGUGUGAAGGUAGGACAUCAACAUCUCGUGUCCUCUCUAUUGUUUUGCGCCUUAGUUUUUGAACUUGACACCUUCCGAUUUGGUGAGUCUGGCCAGCCAGGAAGCCUGGGAAUCCCCAGCACCAGGAUCACUUACAGGCACUGUCACUGUGGGGGCUGUAAUGUGGGUACAGGCAGUGUCACUGUGAGGGCUGUAGUGUGGGUACAGGCACUGCCACUGUGCAGGCUGUAGUGUGGGUACAGGCACUGCCACUGUGCAGGCUGUAGUGUGGGUACAGGCACUGUCACUGUGCAGGCUGUAGUGUGGGUACAGGCACUGUCACUGUGGGGGCUGUAAUGUGGGUACAGGCAGUGUCACUGUGAGGGCUGUAGUGUGGGUACAGGCACUGCCACUGUGCAGGCUGUAGUGUGGGUACAGGCACUGCCACUGUGCAGGCUGUAGUGUGGGUACAGGCACUGUCACUGUGCAGGCUGUAGUGUGGGUACAGGCACCUGCCACUGUGUGGGCUGUAGUGUGGGUACAGGCACUGUCACUGUGCAGGCUGUAGUGUGGGUACAGGCACUGUCACUGUGCAGGCUGUAGUGUGGGUACAGGCACUGUCACUGUGCAGGCUGUAGUGUGGGUACAGGCACCUGCCACUGUGUGGGCUGUAGUGUGGGUACAGGCAGUGUCACUGUGUGGGCUGCAGUGUGGGUACAGGCACCUGCUACUGUGUGGGCUGUAGUGUGGGUACAGGCACUGUCACUGUGCAGGCUGUAGUGUGGGUACAGGCACUGUCACUGUGCGGGCUGUAGUGUGGGUACAGGCACCUGCCACUGUGUGGGCUGUAGUGUGGGUACAGGCACUGUCACUGUGAGGGCUGUAGUGUGGGUACAGACAGUGUCACUGUGUGGGCUGUAGUGUAGGUACAGGUACCUGCCACUGUGAGGGCUGUAGUGUGGGUACAGGCAGUGUCACUGUGUGGGCUGUAGUGUGGGUACAGGCACCUGCCACUGUGCAGGCUGUAGUGUGGGUACUGGGACUCAAACUCGGAUCUUGCUGCUUACAUAACAAAUACUUCAUCAACAAACCUGUCUCCCAUUUAUUUCUCUUCCUGUCUUUCUUCCAUCCUCUGGCCUUUGACCUCUCUCCUUCUUCUUCUCAACUUCUUUGCCUUUCUCCUCCGCACCCUCCUUCCCUCCCCUCCCUCCCCAGUUCUCAAUGCUGAGAGCCUCUAAAUGGGUUCCUCUCCUGCUCUCCCCAGCCCCCUGCCUUGGUGCUGUGAGGUCCUCAGGCCCUGAGAGGGAGGUGGGUCACCAGCAGCCACAGAAAGUCAUGGCAGUAGGUUGAUCACCGGAAGCAUGGCUAAGACUGAGUCCAGGUGUGGCUCAGGCUUUGUGACACUCUUUUUUUUUUUUUUUUUUUUCUGUUUGCCCUGGACACUGGCUGGAGGAAUGAGGCCUGGAAGCAGGAAGCAAAAGAUCAGCUCGGAGAGAAGGAAGAGUGCUGCCCCAGACACAGCGGGUAAGAGCCAGAACUGUGUGCAAUCCUGGGCUGGCCAGCGAUGGGCUCUGGGACUCUUGUGAGAUUGAUGAAGGCUGAUGAGGCUGCUCUGUCCCCUGCCAGGUGCCCCAUCUUCUUCAGGCAUCAGCAAUGAAAGACCUCGGCUGACUUCAGUUUUCCAGAUGAAAACAUCUGUACACCUGCAGGACACUGAAAACCUGCAGCUGCUAGGACAGAGGCUUCUUAGGACUCACCUGCCUUGGAGGACCAACACUGCCCAGCAUCUGCCAUCUGUGUGUUUGGAAAGGAGCUAAUGGGACUCUGUCACCACCUGCUGGCAUGGAGUGGAACUGCAACCCAGCUAUACUAGGCACUGCAAACUGUUCAAAGAAUGGAGGAGUGGUGGGUGGGUAUGGAAAAUUCUGUAGAAAUAAACAUGUUUACUCCUAACACAGUAACCUUCACAGCAAGUGCCUGAGACAGGGCCUCCUCAUUCCGCCCAGGUUGACCUUGAACCUGAUCCUCCUGCUGCCUCUUCCCAGUGCUGGAGUUACAAGUCUGUGCAAUCAGGCCUGGCUUCAAUCAGAUUCUGACAAUGGUCUAACACCUCUGCAUCUCAUUCACAC
rnacentral:lncRNA from 1 species